rnacentral:rRNA from 1 species
UACGUAGGGGGCAAGCGUUGUCCGGAAUCAUUGGGCGUAAAGCGCGUGUAGGCGGCUCGAUAAGUCUGCUGUGAAAGUCCAGGCUCAACCCUGGGAUGCCGGUGGAUACUGUCGAGCUCGAGUCCGGAAGAGGCGAGUGGAAUUCCUGGUGUAGCGGUGAAAUGCGCAGAUAUCAGGAGGAACACCAAUGGCGAAGGCAGCUCGCUGGGACGGUACUGACGCUGAGACGCGAAAGCGUGGGGAGCAAACAGG